CACACACACACACAACCUAAAGGUCUUAACCUUCAACCAGCCCUCUGACAAGUUUGCAGAAAUGUCCCACAGAAGUCCAGUUGGUCCUUCCAAAGAACACAACUUGUGAUAUAAUAGAGCUGAAAUAAAACCAGGAGAGGGGUUACAGCUUGUGUUAUUCUGCUAACCUGUGCCAUUCUCUAGGUUAUAAAUAAAAAGUCUUUAACGGUUAGUUUAUUUUUAGAUAGGAACUAGCUGCGUUUUGUUUCUGGUAUUGUUUUCAUUAAGAUUCUAGGAAAUGUUUUUGUGUAAAACAAGCAACAACAACAACAAGCUCUUACCUGGGAAACUUAACAUUUGAUCUAUUUUAAGGUGUUUUUUUGUGUAACGUUAUAAAUAAUUACUCUCUUCAAUAGCUUCCUGAACAGCAUCAUGACAGUUUAGCAUGACGAGGUUAUUUACAGUUGUUAAUGUCAGCAGUAAAAUAUUGACCUUCUGAGGUGUCCAGAGGUCAAGUUCUGCAGAAAUGUCCUCAGUUAAGGUUUAUAAGUCAUUUAAUAUCAGAUGUUAUUAAAUUCUGGAGAUUAGAGGCAUUUAAGACGGCACCAAUCCAUCCUGGUCUUGGCUGUACUCAGACUAGCUGUUAGCCUAUCAGUCCUAAAGUACAUAUACUCUUUUUCUGAACUGAGGCCUUUAGGUAAGCUUUUUAUUUUCCCAUUAUAUAUACUUGAUCUGAUUUUUACACACACAAAAAAAACAGAAGUCAGUCUAAUAAAGACAGAAGUUUAUGUGGCGGACACUCGUCUCAGUGAAAAGUCAUCUCCACCUAUAGACCCUUUUACUACCCACUUCAUCAAAAGUUGUGCGCGCACCCUGGUGACGAGAAUGAAGCGCUUCCUCGUUCACACUCGACACUAAAACAGCGUUUUAAACCCUUUGUUUCUAAGUUCUGAGCACAUGAAAAAUGUCGGGUUGUUCCGUGUGUGGAUGCCAGAAUCGCUUCUCUUCAAGCAGUGGACUGAAAUUUUACAGAAUUCCGAAGGGAGCACAUCCAUUUCAACAAAAUCGGAGGCGUCUGUGGCUGCAGGCCAUCAAAAGGGUUGAUGAAAACUGGACUGAAAACACCAUCUGAAAUGCUCGAGUUUGUAGCGCCCAUUUUAUAUCAGGUAAGGUAAUUAUGUACUAAGAUUACAGCAGAAAGCUGGUUAACGUGUGUUCCAUUAAAUAAAGUAAGUUGUGUUUGCUGGUUUGCUUUUAAGCAGUCUAUUUAUUUACAGGCGAGGCGUCAUUGGACUCCUCGAGUCCUGAUUUUGUGCCUUCUGCGUUUACGUACACAAAGCGAAGUCAAAACCCCCGUGCAAAGAUGGACAGGUGUCAACGGAAAAGGAGAAGAGAUGAAAUGUCUUGCACGCCAUCAGAUCAGCUGGCUGCUUCAGAGAAUACAGAUCAGCAACCAUCAUUGGCUCACCAUGCCGCUGAAGAGGACCUCCCUGUUCCAAGGAGGGAAUAUGAUGGCCUACAACAAAGAUAUGCUGGGCUUCAUAAAAACCAUGUCAACCUGCAGCUGGAGUUUGAAUAACUUAAGGCAGGAAAUUGUAAACUUAAUGAGGAGCUGAAAAAUGCAGCGUUUUCCUAUGCAAAUAUUAGGUGCAACAGGGGAGCACUGAUUUUUUUUUCACAGGACUUACAACUUUUGUCUUUGAUUGGCUGCUAAUAAAAAUAACAGACAGUGUGGAGAUUAUUUGCCAAAAACUCACAGCUCAUGAUCAUCUAUUGGUUGUGCUAAUGAAAUUAAGACUGGGUCUAAGCAACACGGAUUUGGCGUACAGAUUUAAUGUUUCUAAAACAACUAUAUCAAAUAUUUGUCGAAGCUGGAUACCUGCCAUGUCUGUAAUCCUUAAACCACUCAUUAAAUGGCCAAGUAAGGGAGCCGUACUAAAGAACAUGCCCAAAGUUUUCAGACGGAAUUUCAAACGAUGUCGGUGCAUAAUAGACUGUACAGAAAUGUUCAUUGCUAGACCUAGCAAUCUAACUGCUAGGGCCCAGACAUGGUGAAAUCACAAACACAGCAACACAAUUAAAUAUUUGAUUGGCAUCACCCCAGCUGGAGCAAUUUCCUUUCUGUCACCUGGAUGGGGUGGAAGGGUUUCAGACAAACAAAUAACAAAAGGCUUUUAUAUCUUUUAGAACGCAAUGCUGAGAUUCUAGCUGAUAGAGGAUUUCAAAUCUGAGAUGAACUUGCCGCUUCUGGAGCCACUCGCCGUAUACGUCAUUUCACAGAAGGGAAAAAGCAACUCUCUGCUCAGGAGGUAGACUCAUCAAGACAACUGUCUCAUGUCAGGAUACACGUUGAACGAGUAAUAGGACGCUGGAAGAACUGGAAGAAUUUGCUAACCGUAAUUCCUGUGCCACAGCUCAAUGUUCUAGAUGACAUUGUGAUUGUGUGUGCUGCUCUAACAAACCUCUGUAAGAGUGUUGUUCCCAAAAAGAAAAAAACACCAAUAAUAUCCAGUUCUAUGAUCCCAUGCAGACUAUAAACAGUGCUACUGUCAUUUGCUAGAAUAUGUAAAACUGAUUUUGAAUUACUGUAAGAAAAAAUGUAAAGCUGCUGCUAUGGUUUUUUUGUACUAAAUAAACAAUUUUACAUUUC